ACGGUGCCCAGGUUGCGGCCGCGGGGCGUGAGGCCGAAGGGGCUGCGCCACUCGUAGAGGGUGAGGAAGAGCGCAGUCAGGUGCAGCGCGGUGAAGACGCCCAGCCACAUGGACCAGUGCAGCGGCCACAUGAAGGCGCCGAUGGGCGACGCCGUGUCCCAUGCGCGCACCAUGAUGCCCAGGCUGGUGGAGAAGAAGGGGCUGGUGAAGUCCACCACCUGCGAGCGGGCUGAGUUGAUGCUGAAGCUGGUGACGGCCAUGUGCGCCCGGCCGGCCAUCAGGUCGCCCACCAGGCCGGCCCAGCGGCCGUCGCGCAGCGCGCCGUACUUGCCGUCGCCCACGAUGUACAGCUCGAAGUCGAAGGGCGCGUCCUCCGCCAGGCGCUCCAGCAGGUCGAUGCAGUAGCCGUAGCAGCACCUGCGCAGCGCGCGGGGCGCCGAGCCGUCGGCCAGCGCGGCGAAGAGCGCGUCCAGGGCGGCCGAGUCGUUGGUGCCGGGGGCCAGGCACAGCUGCCCCUCCGGGCACCGACCGUCCUCGUCCGGCUCGCGGGCGAACACGAACGGGUGCUCCACCAGCGUCACCACGCGCAGCUUGGGCCGCGCCCAGGCGCCCGGCGGGGGUGGGGGCCGCCCGGCCGCGCCCCCCCGCCUCUGACUCCAGCCGCCCGUCCUGCCACCGGCCCAGCGUUGCCCAGGCCGGGGCGCCCCGCGGGUCCCGGCGGAGGCUCCACACGCGGAAGCGCCGGGAGAUGUGCACCUGCGAGGAGCCGGUCACCCACACCGGCCCCGUGUGGCCCCGGAAGGACGUGUUGGCCAGGAACCUGGUGGGGGUGGGCGGCAUCAGGGCGGCGGAGGGAUCCCUCUCCCGAGGUGAGACCUAUCGCCCUGCCUCAGACACACCGGGCCACGGGGGAUGCUGCUGUACCCCCCACUCCAGAUCCCCUUCCCAGCCGGGGUACCCACGCCCUGGGGGCUGGGGCGACAGCCCAGCCCAAAGCCCAGCUGAGAGACCCAGGUGGGGCCUUCUUGCUGCGGGGUGCUGUCCCCGCUCUAGGGCUCCCCGGGUCAGGCAGAGCCUCACCUGUUCCUUUCUGUUCCUUUCCCUCCUUUCCC
rnacentral:lncRNA from 1 species